UUUAGAUUAAGUUGCUCCAAGGGAACCCUUGGCCUAAAGGUUUCAUUUGGCCUGUAGGUUAGGCUGCAGUGAGAGUAGACACCUUCAGUGACAGCUGUUGAGUCAGAUGCAGCACUUAGAGGUUUCGGCAUCAGUUAACUGAACACAAAAGACUUCUAGUGGCUCAACAAGUCUUGAAGUUGUAGAAUGUUAAAACUGGUAGAAUAUCACCCUGAACAUUGUUUGGCCUAUUCCCCGACCCAGCUCACCACUUCCUCUAACAGAAGAGUAACAGUUCUGGACAUCCAGCUGCUGCUAUCCAGAAGAAGAUUAAAUAAUUAAAAAUGUGAGCAAGCUCUUCCUACUUCUCCUCUGAGCACUACAUUCACUGAUCCACUGUAGGACUGUACACCUAUUUCCAGGAGCAGUCAACACAGGAAUUCUUGUACUUACUUAUUCUGAAACUUUGGGACAGUCAUGAACUCUUAACUACCUCCUUCCUUACCUUGGUUUCCAUGCAAAGAUAUAGUACUCAACCAGCAUUUCUAAUUGCCAGCUCUCCCUGCUCUGUCACUGUGUGUCUUGUCUGGUCACAGCUUGGAAGGAAAUGCCUCAAAAUUUUGGAGGAAGCAAUUAAAACAAACAACU